rnacentral:rRNA from 1 species
AAUCACAAGGUACAGAAUUGUGAUCUCAUGCAAAUAGUACUCAUUUUCCUGUUAACCUAGGAAAACGAGUGCUUUUUGUGGACAUUGGGGGGUCGUGAAGACUCUAUCAGUGAGUAUUUGUUCUCGGAAGGUCUAGAUAUGAAUAUUGAAUAGUCAGACAUAGUACGAUAAGGUUGUAUGUCUAAAGGGAAACAGCCCAGAACAAGAGUUAAUAAGGUUCCAAAAUUAUUGUUAAGUGAAAUUAAGGCAGUAUUUAUUCCAAACAGCCAGGCAAUAGGCUUAGAAGCGGCCAUUUUCUGAAGACCUCGUAACAGAGCACUGGUUUUGUUUUAAGGAUAAAAGCACCGAAAAUUUAACGGAUCUAAACAAUAUACCGAUACCUUGUCUAAAUAUAUUAAUGUAUUUAUAUAAUACAUUGUAUAUUUGGGGUAGCAGAACAUUGGGGAAGUUUAUGAUUAUGCCUUUAUAAGGCAUAAUUUUUUUUUAUAUUUAACAAGCCAAGCGAUAAUGCUGACAUGAGUAACGAUAAAGGGGAAUACCCUCGCCUAAAGCUUAUGGAAUUUAAUUAAAGUUACGGCCUCUAAGUUUAUUAUAUCAGCGAAGCAGAUAAUAAAUAAUCAGUUAUUUAUCAGCGAAGCAGAUAAUCCCAAAAGGGGUAAACGAUGAGCAAAUCUAAGAUUUACAAAAAAUAACAUUUUCAUGUUUCGCAACAUAGUGACAAAUGUUCUGGAAACCUGUAGAUCUCGUUUGCUAAAUAGUAAUAAACUAAAUUAGAUGAUACGUUUAGCAAAUGUUAUACCGUACCUAAAUACUACCACAAGUAAGCAAGUAGAGUAUACGAAGGCGUUCGAGUGAACAAUCAUUAAGGA